UAAGCGAUGGGGUGACGCAGGAAGGUAGCUGGGCCAGUCAGUGGUUGUACUGGUGUAAGAGUGUAGGCCGUGACAUAGGCAAAUCCGUGUCACAUUAAGGCUGAGACUUGAUGCAUACCCGUUGUGGGGAAUUCAGUGAUCCUAUGCUGCCGAGAAAAGCCUCUAGUGAGUUCAUACACGGCCCGUACCCCAAACCGACACAGGUGAUCAGGUAGAGAAUACCAAGGCGAUCGAGAGAACUGUGGUUAAGGAACUCGGCAAAAUGCCCCCGUAACUUCGGGAGAAGGGGGACCAUGCCCGGUGAACAUCUUCACGGUGGGAGCUGGGUGUGGUCGCAGAGACCAGAGAGAAGCGACUGUUUACUAAAAACACAGGUCCGUGCGAAGACGUAAGUCGAUGUAUACGGACUGACGCCUGCCCGGUGCUGGAAGGUUAAGAGGACCGGUUAGCCGUAAGGCGAAGCUGAGAAUUUAAGCCCCAGUAAACGGCGGUGGUAACUAUAACCAUCCUAAGGUAGCGAAAUUCCUUGUCGGGUAAGUUCCGACCUGCACGAAUGGCGUAACGACUUCUCUGCUGUCUCGACCACAGACUCGGCGAAAUUGCACUACGAGUAAAGAUGCUCGUUACGCGCGGCAGGACGAAAAGACCCCGGGACCUUUACUAUAGCUUGGUAUUGGCGUUCGAUUCGGUUUGUGUAGGAUAGGUGGGAGACUGUGAAGCAUGCACGCCAGUGUGUGUGGAGUCGUUGUUGAAAUACCACUCUGAUCGUAUUGGACGUCUAACCUCGGCCCAUGAUCUGGGUUAGGGACAGUGCCUGGUGGGUAGUUUAACUGGGGCGGUUGCCUCCUAAAGAGUAACGGAGGCGCCCAAAGGUUCCCUCAGCCUGGAUGGCAAUCAGGUGUUGAGUGCAAGUGCACAAGGGAGCUUGACUGUGAGACUGACACGUCGAGCAGGGACGAAAGUCGGGACUAGUGAUCCGGCACCGGCAAGUGGAAGCGGUGUCGCUCAACGGAUAAAAGGUACCCCGGGGAUAACAGGCUGAUCUUCCCCAAGAGUCCAUAUCGACGGGAUGGUUUGGCACCUCGAUGUCGGCUCGUCGCAUCCUGGGGCUGGAGUAGGUCCCAAGGGUUGGGCUGUUCGCCCAUUAAAGCGGCAUGCGAGCUGGGUUUAGAACGUCGUGAGACAGUUCGGUCUCUAUCCGCCGCGCGCGUAAGAAACUUGAGGAAGGCUGUCCCUAGUACGAGAGGACCGGGACGGACGAACCUCUGGUGUGCCAGUUGUUCCACCAGGAGCAUGGCUGGUUAGCUACGUUCGGAAGGGAUAACCGCUGAAAGCAUCUAAGCGGGAAGCCUGUUCCAAGAUGAGGUUUCUCACCACCUUGCGUGGUUAAGGCCCCCUACAGACCAUGGGGUUGAUAGGCCGGAACUGGAAGCGCAGCAAUGCGUGGAGGUGACCGGUACUAAUAGGCCGAGGGCUUG
rnacentral:rRNA from 1 species